CCCCCCACUCUCUCUCUCUCUCUCUCUCUCUCUCUCUCUCUCUCUCUCUCUCUCUCUCUCUCAUGAAACAAAUGUCCAUAUUGAAAUAUCAAUCCAGAACCUCCACAUAUUUGAUUGCCAUAAAUUGUGGCAUAUACUAAUACCUCAUUGUUGUCAUUGCUUUGUGAAGAUAACAAAGAAAAAAGAAAAGGAAAAAAGAAAUCUAGGGUUCAUGUCUUUAUUCAAACCAUUGCCGGUGAACAAACAGACGAUGGAGGCGAACAAUAGCUGAAACGAAACUCCAAAGCAUCAUGGAUUUUGGUGAGUUUUCUUAAACCAUUUGAUUUGCUGCAUCGAAAUGGGUACUGCAUCUUCCUGCUUCUUCUUCACGCAUUUUUCUCUCUUCGUCUGGGUUUUUUGAAGCUGUUUGGUUUUCUGGAUCGAAAUUGGUUUCCAAUUUGCUGGUUCUUUUUCUCUAUUUACUGCUUCUGGGGCUCUGAUGCUGGGUUUCAUUUUCUGAUUUGCUGAAUCGUAGACCCUCUCACUUUUCUCGUUGAUUCAAGUUACAGAUACCAAAAAAUUAAAGUAUAUGGUUCGUCUCUCACCCCUUUGUGUGCACCUCUAUGUAUUUGGUGUUCUCUUUCUAUUUGCUUCUUUUGUUUUUAGCGCAGGUAAGGUUUGGUGAUGAUUGUUGUGUAUCAAGUGGAUAUAAGGUGGUUUUAUGGUGAUGAAUUGAAGUUGUAAUCAUAGAAUCAAGGAAGGAGAUGGAACGGUGACGAAGGGUUGGCAUUGAUUUUUGUGAGCUCAUUAUUGAUUUUCUAUAUGAGGUUUGUAAUUGUAUAUUUACAAAACUGCAAUUAUGUGGUCUAUAUUAGUGAUUUUAUGGUGUGUUUAAAUUUUCGUUGUGUGUUUGUGUAGCUUGAGUUGCAGGUGAAGUUGGAGAUGGUGAUGGGUUAUUUGUUGACGGAUGUGUUUUGUGUGUAUGAGAGAGAGAAAGAGAGGUGGGCCUAUAAUUUUUAUUAAUAAAACUUUAAAUUAAAUAGCAAAAAACAUUAAAAAAUGUAUCAGAAGGGUAUUUUAGUCUUUUCAGUUUUCUGAGAGACCAAAAACGCAAUAAAACCAGCUUAAAAGGACUACCAAUCUAAAAAAGUCAUGGUUUGGACUAAAACUCCUAAAAAAUACAUACCACAAGGACCAUUUUUACAAUUUUGUCUAUAAUUUUUUGUAACUAACUCCUUUUAAACGAUAACUUUUCAUAGACGGUUUAAUGAAUUUUACCAUAAAUAUCAUUUUCGUAAAAAAAAUUACUUUUGAAAACGGCUUAAAUUAGUUGAUUGAUUCUAUUUAUAUAUGAAUA
rnacentral:lncRNA from 1 species